GAUGAACGCUGGCGGCGUGCCUAAUACAUGCAAGUCGAGCGAACAGACGAGGAGCUUGCUCCUCUGACGUUAGCGGCGGACGGGUGAGUAACACGUGGAUAACCUACCCAUAAGACUGGGAUAACUUCGGGAAACCGGAGCUAAUACCGGAUAACAUGUUGAACCGCAUGGUUCAACAGUGAAAGACGGUCUUGCUGUCACUUAUAGAUGGAUCCGCGCCGCAUUAGCUAGUUGGUAAGGUAACGGCUUACCAAGGCAACGAUGCGUAGCCGACCUGAGAGGGUGAUCGGCCACACUGGAACUGAGACACGGUCCAGACUCCUACGGGAGGCAGCAGUAGGGAAUCUUCCGCAAUGGGCGAAAGCCUGACGGAGCAACGCCGCGUGAGUGAAGAAGGUCUUCGGAUCGUAAAACUCUGUUAUUAGGGAAGAACAAAUGUGUAAGUAACUAUGCACGUCUUGACGGUACCUAAUCAGAAAGCCACGGCUAACUACGUG
rnacentral:rRNA from 1 species